rnacentral:misc_RNA from 2 species
AUGAAGCAUUAGAGAGGUUGUCGCUGCCUUGAAAGAGGAUGUGCACGCCUUUCAAAUCUUCUUCAACCACCUGUGCACUCUUCUUAGACUGUGAUACCUUUCACUGAAAAUGUGGAUAGAGGAUUUGCGAAUUUUCGCUUAUCUUCAAUUUCGCAGUCUAUGUUUAUACACACUAUGAAAUAUUAGAAUGUUGUUUUACUUGCUGUAAUGGCUUGUAAUAAUUAAAUA